AGGCUGUGAUGACUUCUUAGGACACCUUUGGAUUAAACAUGAAAAUAACUGACUGACAGAUCUGAGUCUC